rnacentral:rRNA from 1 species
CAUGCUAGACGUAGUUUGAUCAGUGGCUCAGAACGAACGCUGGCGGCAUGCCUAACACAUGCAAGUCGAACGAAGGCUUCGGCCUUAGUGGCGCACGGGUGCGUAACGCGUGGGAACCUGCCCCUCGGUUCGGAAUAACAGUUAGAAAUGACUGCUAAUACCGGAUGAUGACUUCGGUCCAAAGAUUUAUCGCCGAGGGAUGGGCCCGCGUAGGAUUAGCUAGUUGGUGGGGUAAAGGCCUACCAAGGCGACGAUCCUUAGCUGGUCUGAGAGGAUGAUCAGCCACACUGGGACUGAGACACGGCCCAGACUCCUACGGGAGGCAGCAGUGGGGAAUAUUGGACAAUGGGCGAAAGCCUGAUCCAGCAAUGCCGCGUGAGUGAUGAAGGCCUUAGGGUUGUAAAGCUCUUUUACCAGGGAUGAUAAUGACAGUACCUGGAGAAUAAGCUCCGGCUAACUCCGUG